rnacentral:rRNA from 1 species
GUGAGGAAUAUUGGUCAAUGGCCGAGAGUCUGAACCAGCCAAGUCGCGUGAGGGAUGAAGGUUCUAUGGAUCGUAAACCUCUUUUAUAAGGGAAUAAAGUGCGGGACGUGUCCCGUUUUGUAUGUACCUUAUGAAUAAGGAUCGGCUAACUCCGUGCCAGCAGCCGCGGUAAUACGGAGGAUCCGAGCGUUAUCCGGAUUUAUUGGGUUUAAAGGGUGCGUAGGCGGCAUUUUAAGUGAGCGGUGAAAUUUUGUGGCUCAACCAUAGAAUUGCCGUUGAAACUGGGAGGCUUGAGUAUGUUUGAGGCAGGCGGAAUGCGUGGUGUAGCGGUGAAAUGCUUAGAUAUCACGCAGAACCCCGAUUGCGAAGGCAGCCCGCCAAGCCAUGACUGACGCUGAUGCACAAAAGCGUGGGGAUCAAACAGG